UACGGAGGGGGCUAGCGUUGUUCGGAAUUACUGGGCGUAAAGCGCGCGUAGGUGGUUUGUCGCGUUGUUCGUGAAAACUCACAGCUUAACUGUGGGCGUGCGGGCGAUACGGGCAGACUGGAGUACUGCAGGGGAGACUGGAAUUCCUGGUGUAGCGGUGAAAUGCGUAGAUAUCGUAAGGAAGACCAGUGGCGAAGGCGGGUCUCUGGACAGUUCCUGACGCUGAGGCACGAAGGCCAGGGGAGCAAACGGG
rnacentral:rRNA from 1 species